AACGAACGCUGGCGGCGCGUUUUAAGCAUGCAAGUCGAACGGCAAGGAGAGUAGCAAUACUUUCCCUAGAGUGGCGAACGGGUGAGUAACACGUAGGUGAUCUACCCCUGGAUGGGGGAUAGUCCGUGGAAACACGGGGUAAUACCGCAUGAGGCCUUGGGGGUAAAGCCCUGAGGUGAAAGCUCCAACUGGAGCGUCGGGGGAUGAGCCUGCGGCCCAUUAGGCAGUUGGCGGGGUAAAGGCCCACCAAACCGACGAUGGGUAGCCGGCCUGAGAGGGUGUACGGCCACACUGGAACUGAGAAACGGUCCAGACUCCUACGGGAGGCAGCAGCUAAGAAUCUUCCGCAAUGGGGGAAACCCUGACGGAGCGACGCCGCGUGGACGAUGAAGGCCGUAAGGUUGUAAAGUCCUUUUGCGGGCGAAGAAUAAGGCGGGGAGUGGAAAGCCCCGCUGAUGACGUUAGCCCGCGAAUAAGCCCCGGCCAAUUACGUGCCAGCCGCCGCCGUAAUAC
rnacentral:rRNA from 1 species